rnacentral:rRNA from 1 species
AACGAACGCUGGCGGCAGGCCUCAAACAUGCAAGUCUAGGGGUGUAGCAAUACACACCGGCGGACGGGUGCGUAACACGUGGGAAUGUACCUACUGGUUCGGAACAACUGCGGGAAACUGCAGCUAAUACCGAAUGUGUCCUUACGGAGAAAGAUUUAUCGCCAGUAGAUCAGCCCGCGUCCGAUUAGCUAGUUGGUGGGGUAAAAGCUCACCAAGGCGACGAUCGGUAGCUGUUCUGAGAGGAAGAUCAGCCACACUGGGACUGAGACACGGCCCAGACUCCUACGGGAGGCAGCAGUUGGGAAUCUUGGACAAUGGGGGAAACCCUGAUCCAGCCAUGCCGCGUGAGUGAUGAAGGCCUUCGGGUUGUAAAACUCUUUCGACGGGGACGAUAAUGACGGUACCCGUAGAAGAAGCUCCGGCUAACUUCGUGCCAGCCGCCGCUGUAA